rnacentral:rRNA from 1 species
UACAGAGGCCUCAAGCGUUGUUCGGAAUUACUGGGCGUAAAGGGUGAGUAGGCUGAAAGGUAAGUCGAUGGUUAAAUUGCGAGGCUUAACCUCGAAGGGUCCGUUGAUACUGCCUUCCUAGAGAAACGCAGGGGGGAUUGGAAUUCACGGUGUAGCAGUGAAAUGCGUAGAUAUCGUGAGGAAGACCAAAAGCGAAGGCAAAUCCCUGGGCAAAUUCUGACGCUCAAUCACGAAGGCUGGGGUAGCAAACGGG